CACGUAGGGGGGCAAGCGUUUGUCCGGAUUUAUUGGGCGUAAAGAGCUCGUAGGCGGCUUAGUAAGUCGGGUGUGAAACCUCCAGGCUCAACCUGGAGACGCCACCCGAUACUGCUGUGGCUAGAGUCCGGUAGGGGAGCGUGGAAUUCCUGGUGUAGCGGUGAAAUGCGCAGAUAUCAGGAGGAACACCAGCGGCGAAGGCGGCGCUCUGGGCCGGUACUGACGCUGAGGAGCGAAAGCGUGGGGAGCAAACAGG
rnacentral:rRNA from 1 species